rnacentral:rRNA from 1 species
GUGUCAGCAGCCGCGGUAACACGUAGGGGGCGAGCGUUGUCCGGAUUUAUUGGGCGUAAAGAGCUCGUAGGCGGUUUGGCAAGUCGGGUGUGAAAUUUCGAGGCUCAACCUCGAAACGCCACUCGAUACUGCCAUGACUGGAGUCCGGUAGAGGAGUGCGGAAUUCCUGGUGUAGCGGUGAAAUGCGCAGAUAUCAGGAGGAACACCAACGGCGAAGGCAGCACUCUGGGCCGGUACUGACGCUGAGGAGCGAAAGCGUGGGGAGCAAACAGGAUUAGAUACCCUGGUAGUCCACGCCGUAAACGUUGGGCACUAGGUGUGGGGGGCUGUCAACGCCCUCCGUGCCGUAGCUAACGCAUUAAGUGCCCCGCCUGGGGAGUACGGCCGCAAGGCUAAA